CAGCCGCCUCGCCGCCAGUGCCCAGCGCGGGGCCCUGCGCCUCCACGAGCAGCUCCUCUGGCCAAGCACGCCAGCCUCCACGUUUGCUUUGGGCUCGGGGUUCACCAGGCGCUGCGUCUUCUUGGGACAAACAACAAGCAACGAUAAUAGAAUAUGACCUGUGCUGAGUGCCACCAUGGCCUGCCCAGCGCCGGGUGACAUCAGAACAAAUCCAGCAGAGACUCUAUGCCUGAUGAUGACCCACAAAGCUGCCCCCAUUCUCCAUCUCAGAGAAUCGUGACUUGUCCUUCUAGAUGUCCUCGUAGGACACCAACCUGCAACAGGGUGGUCUGGGUCCUAGCCCAAGCCCCCUGGCCCUAUGCUCAACACAGUGUCACCCCUUUCCCCUCCAGUGAAAACUGACACUACCACUUCAACCUCAGAGCCUUUGCACUGGCAGGUGCCAGCUUCGAAGGCUCUUUCUUUCCCACUCAACUUCAAGAGUCAUUCCCUGGCUUCCUUCAACUCUUUCCUAAAUGGCCAAGUUUCAGUGCAUGUCCUCUUGGCUACCUUUGGUAACCUCAGCUCCCACCCUGCCCCUUUCUAUGGCCCUGCAUGUCGCCUGUUAUUUGCUCCAGUGUGUCGUGUCCUCCUCACCCACUCCGUCACUGCAGGGUGAGUCCCAAGUCAGGAGCUGGGUCCCGAGGCAUAGCACCAGCCAGCACGUCAAAGACAAGAAUCUGCCAGUCGAGUGAACACCCAGGCAAGAGCUGGCUCAAGUGAGCAGGAGCUGGAUGUGCAAAGGACCUGGGCCAAGGCCCUCCCCGGUGUGGGCCCCGACCCCGUCCAACCCACACUCCACGUUUUGCCGGAGACCAAGAUGUGAGCCUGGAGGCCUGGCCCGGGGCGCCACCUGCGUGAGCGCGGGGGCGGAGUGGUGACGUCAACGCCGCGAGCGAGGCUGCGCGAGCCGAGGAGACGUCAGCGCAGCCCCGGGCCGCCCGCGCACGCGUCCGUGCGUCAGCGGCGCGCGGGGGCGGAGGCCGGACGAGGCCUCGGUGCGUGUAUCUCCGGUCGCCGAGUGCCCUCUGCCGGAGCCGUCGAGUAUUGCAUCCGAGCGGCGCCCGGCACUUGUCCGCUCUAGAUAGGCCCAGGAUGCACUUCCCAGCACGUCUGCGUCCGACAGUCGCAGCCCACCCCAUCCUGGCCCCCAGCGCUGCUUUUCUUUGCUCUUUUGAGUACUUCGUAGCUUCCAACGUGCCAUAUGGUUUGCGUAUUCGUCACGCUGAUGUUUGUUAAACGUCCCCACCGCCCCAAACCAAAGCCGGAAUCUUGGUAUUCCUCUUGAUGGCUCUAGCGCCUGGCAUCCAAGGAGCGCCCCCAAAAUCUUGAAUUCAAGUAAUCCCUGCUCCGCGGAGGCUUUUGGCACAUACCCCAUCUUACCCCGUGGCUGGCCUCUGGAACUGGAAGGAAACU